rnacentral:rRNA from 1 species
GACGAACGCUGGCGGCGUGCUUAACACAUGCAAGUCGAACGGAAAGGCCCUGCUCUUGUGGGGUGCUCGAGUGGCGAACGGGUGAGUAACACGUGAGUAACCUGCCCUUGACUUUGGGAUAACUUCAGGAAACUGGGGCUAAUAUCGGAUAGGAGCUCCUGCUGCAUGGUGGGGGUUGGAAAGUUUCGGCGGUUGGGGAUGGACUCGCGGCUUAUCAGCUUGUUGGUGGGGUAGUGGCUUACCAAGGCUUUGACGGGUAGCCGGCCUGAGAGGGUGACCGGCCACAUUGGGACUGAGAUACGGCCCAGACUCCUACGGGAGGCAGCAGUGGGGAAUAUUGCACAAUGGGCGGAAGCCUGAUGCAGCAACGCCGCGUGCGGGAUGACGGCCUUCGGGUUGUAAACCGCUUUCGCCUGUGACGAAGCGUGAGUGACGGUAAUGGGUAAAGAAGCACCGGCUAACUACGUG